AUCCAAAUGACUAGUCCCAAAUAGGACGAAACGCACAUCUUGAAU
rnacentral:hammerhead_ribozyme from 1 species